rnacentral:rRNA from 1 species
GAUCAUGGCUCAGGAUGAACGCUAGCUACAGGCUUAACACAUGCAAGUCGAGGGGCAGCAUGGUCUUAGCUUGCUAAGGCCGAUGGCGACCGGCGCACGGGUGAGUAACACGUAUCCAACCUGCCGUCGUACUCUUGGACAGCCUUCUCGAAAGGAAGAUUAAUACAAGAUGGCAUCAUGAGUCCGCAUGUUCACAUGAUUAAAGGUAUUCCGGUAGACGAUGGGG